AUUGAACGCUGGCGGCAGGCCUAACCCAUGCAAGUCGAGCGAGCGGCGGACGGGUGAGUAAUGUAUGGGGAUCUGCCCGAUAGAGGGGGAUAACUACUGGAAACGGUUGCUGAUACCGCAUACUAUCGGCUGAACCCAUAUGGUAUUAGAUAGUAGUUGGGGUAAAGGCUCACCUAGGCGACGAUCUCUAGCGGGUCUGAGAGGAUGAUCAGCCACACUGGGACUGAGACACGGCCCAGACUCCUACGGUAGGCAUCAGGUGGGAAUAUGGCACAAUGGGCGAAAGCCUGAUGCAGCCAUGCCGCGUGUAUGAAGAAGGCCUUAGGGUUGUAAAGUACUUUCAGCGGGGAGGCGUUACCCGCAGAAGAAGCACCGGCUAACUCCGUGCCAGCAGCCGCGGUAAUUC
rnacentral:rRNA from 1 species